CUUGACAGUCGAAAGUUCGGGCCAGGUAACAUGACGUCAUGAAUCAGAGUGAACAGGUCUUGUGCUGUCUAGGUG
rnacentral:lncRNA from 1 species